rnacentral:rRNA from 1 species
CCUACGGGCGGCAGCAGUGAGGAAUUUUCGUCAAUGGGGGAAACCCUGAACGAGCAACGCCGCGUGCAGGAAGAAGGUUUUCGGAUCGUAAACUGCUUUUCUGUGGGAAGAGAACGGACGGUACCACAGGAAGAAGCCCCGGCUAACUACGUGCCAGCAGCCGCGGUAAUACGUAGGGGGCAAGCGUUGUCCGGAUUUAUUGGGCGUAAAGCGCACGCAGGCGGUCUGCUAAGUUCAUGAUGACAGCUCCUGGCUUAACUGGGAGAGGCCUGUGAAAACUGACAGACUUGAGGGCUUGAGAGGGAUGCGGAAUUCCGGGUGGAGUGGUGAAAUACGUAGAUAUCCGGAGGAACACCAAAGGCGAAGGCAGCAUCCUGGGAAGUACCUGACGCUCAUGUGCGAAAGCCAGGGGAGCGAACGGGAUUAGAUACCCCGGUAGUC